UACAGAGGUCCCAAGCGUUGUUCGGAUUCAUUGGGCGUAAAGGGUGCGUAGGCGGCGCGGUAAGUCGGGGGUGAAAGCCUGUGGCUCAACCACAGAAUGGCCUUCGAUACUGGGACGCUUGAGUAUGGUAGAGGUUGGUGGAACUGCGAGUGUAGAGGUGAAAUUCGUAGAUAUUCGCAAGAACACCGGUGGCGAAGGCGGCCAACUGGACCAUUACUGACGCUGAGGCGCGAAAGCGUGGGGAGCAAACAGG
rnacentral:rRNA from 1 species